GGGGAAUAUUGGACAAUGGGCGAAAGCCUGAUCCAGCCAUGCCGCGUGAGUGAUGAAGGCCCUAGGGUUGUAAAGCUCUUUCAACGGUGAAGAUAAUGACGGUAACCGUAGAAGAAGCCCCGGCUAACUUCGUGCCAGCAGCCGCGGUAAUACGAAGGGGGCUAGCGUUGUUCGGAAUUACUGGGCGUAAAGCGCACGUAGGCGGAUCGGUCAGUUAGGAGUGAAAUCCCGGGGCUCAACCCCGGAACUGCCUUUAAUACUGCUGGUCUAGAGUUCGAGAGAGGUGAGUGGAAUUCCGAGUGUAGAGGUGAAAUUCGUAGAUAUUCGGAGGAACACCAGUGGCGAAGGCGGCUCACUGGCUCGAUACUGACGCUGAGGUGCGAAAGCGUGGGGAGCAAAC
rnacentral:rRNA from 1 species